GUAGGUAAACAGCUGUUCAUCCAGCCCCGUCCUUACUGGAAUCUCCCUUCCCCUGCCAAUCACUGACUCCACUGGCCAAGAGGGCUCUGAGCUAGUGAAUAAAUACAGGCCCCUGUAGCUCUCAGCUCCACUCAGCUGUUUGCAGAGAAGACCCAACCCCUAGAGAAGAUGAGAGUCCAGAUGCUGGCUGUCCUGCUCCUGUUCGUGUCCCUCCUUUGCGCUGAGGGAAUCCGCGGAGCCUCCCUGGCUGAGAGCUUGGAGUCCCAGCACGUGGAGGAAGGCCAAAGCGAGUCCAAGGUGAUGAUGAAGAGAGAAGCGAGUUUCGCUGGAUGUCGCUUCUGCUGUAACUGCUGUUCUGGGAUGAGAGGCUGUGGGAUCUGCUGCGACUUCUGACCCCCUUUUCCCGUCACCCGGUCGGUGCCUGGAGGCUCCCCAGCCCUUCCUGGGAGCAGAUCGAAGCCAGCCUGGUGCUGAAUUUGCCUGGGUUCAGGGGGAUGCUAACCCUCCUGCUCAGCCCCAAUAAAGUAUCUGCCUAG
ensembl:lncRNA